CCUACGGGGUGCAGCAGUGGGGAAUAUUGCACAAUGGGGGAAACCCUGAUGCAGCCAUGCCGCGUGCGUGAAGAUGGUCUUCGGAUUGUAAAGCACUUUCGACGGGGACGAUGAUGACGGUACCCGUAGAAGAAGCCCCGGCUAACUUCGUGCCAGCAGCCGCGGUAAUACGAAGGGGGCUAGCGUUGCUCGGAAUGACUGGGCGUAAAGGGCGCGUAGGCGGUUUAUGCAGUCAGAUGUGAAAUCCCCGGGCUUAACCUGGGAACUGCAUUUGAGACGCAUAGACUAGAGGUCGAGAGAGGGUUGUGGAAUUCCCAGUGUAGAGGUGAAAUUCGUAGAUAUUGGGAAGAACACCGGUGGCGAAGGCGGCAACCUGGCUCGAUACUGACGCUGAGGCGCGAAAGCGUGGGGAGCAAACAGGAUUAGAUACCCGUGUA
rnacentral:rRNA from 1 species